rnacentral:rRNA from 1 species
UGGGGAAUUUUGGACAAUGGGCGAAAGCCUGAUCCAGCCAUGCCGCGUGAGUGAAGAAGGCCUUCGGGUUGUAAAGCUCUUUUAGUCGGAAAGAAAAGAUCAUAAUGAACAAUUAUGAUUCAUGACGGUACCGACAGAAAAAGCACCGGCUAACUACGUGCCAGCAGCCGCGGUAAUACGUAGGGUGCGAGCGUUAAUCGGAAUUACUGGGCGUAAAGGGUGCGCAGGCGGUCUUGCAAGUCAGAUGUGAAAGCCCCGGGCUUAACCUGGGAAUUGCGUUUGAAACUACAAGACUAGAGUGCAGCAGAGGGGAGUGGAAUUCCAUGUGUAGCAGUGAAAUGCGUAGAGAUGUGGAAGAACACCGAUGGCGAAGGCAGCUCCCUGGGUUGACACUGACGCUCAUGCACGAAAGCGUGGGGAGCAAACA